GAAGAACGGUGCUUUCACUAUCAGCUCUUAAAGAAAGCAUAUGAGGAAUCAAACUCAGUUGUUCAUCGUAUGAACAAGAUUUCUAAGCAGGAGAACUGACAGCUGAAUGCAGACAGUGCCCUUCUUGUCUUGGCAGAAAUGUUGUCAACAACGUGAUGCAGUGGAUCUGUGUACCCUUAGAGAGGAUUCCUUUGCCCAAAUAAGAACAACUAAAAGCCAGGCAUGACUGCUCUGGGUUCCCUUUGCAGCCCUGAUUUAUUGCAUCCUAAGAUCCUUCAGACCUACCAUCAAGUCGCCAGCCCCAAAACACUCUCUGUGGAAACAAAACAGCUAUAAUGUGAAGAAAAAGAAUGAGUUUCAGGCUUCCAUCCCUCACCAUCGGGCUGCUGUGAUUCACAAGAGCCCACAGUGUUGCCUACAAUAUGAUAGGGGGUUUGGGUUUUGAUUUGGCUUGGUUUUGUUUUCCACUGCAUUAAAACAGCAGUAAUAACAGUGUCAUGGGACCAGCACCAAACAGAAGAAAUCCUGGCAAGUGAAGCUGUGCUCAUGUACGGCUCAAAAGCAACAAGGAAAGGAACUGUCCAGAGACUAAAGCAUUUUCAUGUUAAGACUUAUGAUUUAAUACUUGUUUAAGUUAAACAUUAAUAUGGGUAAAGUAACUUUCAAAACAGAGCCAGGGCAGAGUUGAUCCAAAAGUCAACAGAACAAAAGAGUCUGGAGAAAACUCUGAGCCAAACCACUGAAGCUGAUAAUGUCUGGCAAGAACAUUCACCUCGGAGAAGAGCUUGAGGACAGCAAAACUCAGUACGAGACAGAAAUCAGACCUCGCCCCUUGCUGCCUGUCUCUGCCUUUAUUCUGACCAGAUGUGAAAGACUCAUGGUCUUGGAGGCCUGGGAUAUAAGCAGGCUGCAGGGUCAAUGAUUGCUUCUGCACUAAUGGAUUCAGCCUCCAGCCUGAGGUGCAGCUGACACAAGGACAGAAACCUUCAAGUGACUCUUUUUGGCCCAAACUGUAUUUACAGAGUUGAUCUUCAGCUUGCCAGCUAUUCGUUGUACUUCAGCAAAUUGGAGAUGCUUCCUGUCAUCCAUCAGUGUACCCAUGUUCCAUUAUUCUGGGCUAACAGCCUGUAAAAUGAAACAGCAAACAGAGCUUCAUUAAAACAAAGUAAGACACAUCCUCAGCUGGCAGGUUUGGGAGAUGAGGAAUCAAGCCCCAGCGGUUGCUCUUCCAGCUUCAUCUCUGAGGAUCUACAUGAGAAACAGGAUAAAAGUCCUCUCAGCUCUACGAACCUCAGUUUAUACAUUCAUCAAGUGGGGGCACUACUACUCAAGAGUCCUCAUAAGAACAUUAUGGAAAUGAAUUGCAGUUUAUACAGCAGUCUGUGACCUUGGGUUCUUCUCUGCAGAGCUGCUUUCCAGGACUCAGCACUUCUUGUUGAACUCAGGGAGGUUCCUGUCAGCCCUACUCUCCAGCCUGUCAAGAUGGCUCUGGAUAGCACCACUCUCUGGAAAUGGACUCGGACUUCGUGUGCUUGUUCCAUGGCUUACUCAGAUAGUCAUGCAGGAGCUGGGAAACAGUAGGAAGGAGCAAGGCAUGGAGCAAAGUAGAGCACACACGCGUACACCUCACUCUACCUGAUUUAACUCUUCAGCUACGAAGAUUUCCCUGCUUGAGAUACGGCACCUAAGGAGGAGUUGGCUUUUGGAUGAGGCCCUUCUCUGGCUGUGUGGAAGUACUGAUCUAAAUCUGCACUGAAGGAGGCAGACAGCUACCACAAGAGGACACAAAGCCUUGAUGCUGACAGAGGUUGCAUGUGGUUUUGCUGCAGGCCAGCAGUCAGCCCCAGCGAUACCAUCCAGCCCUGCCCUGCUGCCGACCUUUCCUGCCACUUCUCACUUUUCAUUUGUUUGCUUUCUUUAUCAGCCCUGACCCUUGUCAAUACAAAGCACAGAACUGGGUGUGUGGGAGUUAGGGAGGAGGCUGCAGCCCUCUGUGAACUGUUAUUUUCGGACAGAGAUUGGCUGCAGUCAUUUAUCCCUUGCCAAAGAGUUUAAAAACGGCACGCUUGCUGAUCCAGGUGAUUUUACGAGGAGGUGGUGCCUGCCAUUUCCCAUCACAGCUGCUGAUUGCUAAUCAUACAGCUGAUAUACUGCGGACAGCUGAGUUAAAGGGAAUUCCCGUAAGAGCCUCAUGCCAUACAGAUAACAGUUUCUUUAAGAGCCUGAAAAUUCUCAGACAGGUGAAUUUUUCCACUCCAGGUUGGAUGGGGCCAUGGGCAGCCUGAUCUAGUGGGUGGCAACCCUGCCCACGGCAGUGGAGUUGGAACUAGAUGGUCUUUAAGGACCCUUCAACCCAAGCCAAUCUAUGAUUCCCUGAUUCUGUGAUUCCUCUUACUACAGUUCAUGUUAGUGGCUUGGCUGUUAGGAAGAUAAUCCUUGGGAUUAGGGUGAGGACAGAGUCAUACAUAAAUAUAGCAAAUGGAAAACGCUCCACUUGUCAUUCAUAAAGCUCUCCUUCUAGGAACGGAGGGGAUGGCUGCCGGUCACAGAGAGCAGGGCAAACAUGUCUCCUCUGUGCAGUUUGGUGUUUUUUUCUGAUUUUGUAGUAGUCAGAAACUGCAAUUUUUUUGAAGUCGCCUUUUCACACAUCUAAAUGAAACCUUAAAAAUCAGUUUGGCUAAGAAGGUAAUGAGUAUGAAGUAUAAAUUAUCAUCCUUCAUUAGAAGCUUUUCACCCUGCUUUAUCCCUUCAUCGUAUAGACUCAUGUUGCCAUAGAAGAAGCAGCAAUGUCAGAACAUGACUUAAAAUAAUUCCACUGAUCAAGUGUUAAUUGCACUCUUGUACAAUCAAAGCAGACUGCUCAGGAACACGUUAAGCUUACCUUUGUGACAGUAAAUCAUUGCCAAACCCUCCUUUGGCCAAACUCUUCUGCAAACACUGUUAUAACAGUAAACAUUUUAUUGGCUCAGAGCUGGAAGGGACCAUUAAAACUCUGGUUACCAUAAAUUGUGACAUUUCUUGCACAGCAGCUGUACAUGUACAUGUUCCCAUUGCCACGGCAGAUGCAAGAGUGAAGUGGGUUAACCCAACUGUCUGCUCGCCUCAAGGUAACUCAGAAUGCUGCAGCGUAUUUUCACUUGUAAUUAAGCUGCCUCAAACUGCCCUCAGAGCAGCAGUGAUCGGGGAUGCGAUGGAUGCUUCAGGUGGCACAAUCAUUUUACCCCUCAGUAACCUGUGUAAUGGCUUUUGUUCAUGGUCUGUGUCUUUGAUCGCCUUCUUGACUUCUUUAAUAUCACAAGGCAUUAUCAGGAUAUUUCAUCAUUUUGCGGGUUGCAAAGUCUCACUCAGCACCAUUUUAUUAAUCCAUAGUGUUAAUGGAGUCUUUCAAUGGCAAAGAGUUUUCCAGCAAAAAUAAGGGAUCAGGACGGGCUUGUGGCCCAUUACUAGAUGCAAGGUCAAUUGUGCUCCUUCAAACGACAAUCUGACUUCUAAGGAAAAAGAUUAUGCCCAUACUUUCACCGUGUUAGAUGUAAAAAUGUACUCUUGCACUGUACUGAGAACUAUUUUUGCAUUAAAAAUGACUAAAAUGUGUAGCUGCACCACAGCAGCAUUCUAGUCCUAUUGGAGCUAAUUGUGAAACCUGUAAUGCCUUCUAGCAGAGGAAGAUCAAAACGUAUGCAUAUAAACAAUACAGUGUUUAAAUAAAUCCAAGUUAUAAGCAUAUGUUUCACUAUAAAUUGAUUCUGUUGAUCUUAGAAAUCAAGAUGUCAAAUAAUGUGUUUUCCUUUCUGUACUGUCCAUUACUCUUCAGGUAUUUAGACACUGAGGGUCAUGCACAUGCAUUACAGGGUUAAUGCCAUGCUCAGGCCAUUAAUAGUAAGAUGGCAAGAAAACAGAAGAAAAAAAAACACCAUUUAUGUGAGACAAGACAGGAGAAUUUAUUGACUGAAGUGUCUUUAUCUUCAUGUUCAUUUUUCAUUUUAAGAGGUGUAAGUAUAAACCAUCAUCAUUAUCAUUUAGAACCAAUCAAAGCCAGGAAUGACAUCCAAAGGUCUGAUUAAGGCUUUACUUGCAUGAUGCAGAUGGGUUUUGUCUUGAUGACAGAUAAAUCCCUCACUACUGAAGAAUAACAUCAUGAGAGCAGAAGUCAGGGAAAUAAACUGUGACAAAGAGAGCCAGUGAUAGAUGGCCAAGUGAGCAAGGGACUGACAGCAAGGACAUAUGGAUCCAGUUCUCAGCUCCAUCACUGUCUGAGUAUGUGACCAUGAACAAGAAGCCUGUGCAUAUUCCUUCAUCUGGAAUGUCCAUCAGACAAUAUGGACUUAGCACAAGAGCACGUUAGUAUUCCAGAAAAAGAUUUUGAAAUUUACCUCAUGGGACAGGCUGCAGUACUGAAGAUUUUUAAAGCCAUACAGGAAUUGGUGGUCUUGGGAUCAUCUGUGGCUAUUGGUCAGUUACCUGAUGUCUUGUAUUUGUUAGAGGUGAACAGAAGGAUUCUGUGACACUGCAUCCAGAGUUGACAUGUGAAUCCUUGUGGACUGACGAUCAAGUAUACAAUUUCUUGUAGCUGGGAAAGGUUGGCAUGAUGCCUCAUCCUGGAAGCAUUCAAGGGUUGAUGGGGCUGUGAGACAACCUGGUCCAAAGGGAGGUGUCCCUGUCUAUAGCAGGGGUUGGAAGUAGAUGAUCUUAAAUGUUCCUUCCAACCCAAACCAUUCUAUGAUUCUAUGAUCUUUGUAGAGCCUUCAAACCCCACUCGCUGUGUAUGCUGAAUAUAUUGAACCCAUACCUUCCUAGAAUCAUAGAACUUAUUGGGUUGAAAGGGACCUUAAAGCCCACCCAGUUCCAUGGGCUGGUUGCCCCCCACCAGCUCAGGCUGCCCAGGGUCCAUCCAACCUGGCCUUGAGCACCUCCAGGGAUGGGGCACCACAGCUCUCUGGACAGCAGUGCCAGGGCCUCACCACUGAGUAAAGAAUCUCUUCCUAACAUCUAAAUCUCCCUUCUUUUGGUUUAAAGCCAUUCCCCCUUGUCCUCUCACUAUCAGACCAUGUAAAAAAGUUGGUCCCUCUCCUGCUAAUAAGCUCCUUUAAAUACAGGAAGGCUACAGUGAGAUCUUUCCGGAGCCUUCACUUCUCCAAGCUGAGCAAGCCCAGAACUUCUGCCUUGAGUAAAUGUUUAUCUAGAAUGCAUGUACUUUACCAUAUAAGCAACACUACAGAUACUCUCUCUCUAUACAUAUAUGCAUCUUUAUGUAUGUUUUAUUCAGCAACAUGGACAAGAAUACUACAGCAGAUGAAGAUGUUGUUGCCUUACGUAUGAGGAGCUCACCAUAACUAACUGUGGUCCAUUGGGCUCCAGAAUCUUCUACUACACUUAGUUUUUCUUGCCACUGUUUGUAGUAGGGAAAGGUCUUGAUCAAAUUCAUGGCCCCUAUUGUGGAAAGUCUUCCUGUGCCACAAUGAAUUUAAAUGAAAGUCUGCAUGAAUAGCUAGUAUACAGUCACUGCAAAAUGGAACAAACCAGCUGCACAAUGCCAAGAAUUUCAGGCAUGUGGUUUGGAAAACACUACAAUGUACGUUUAUAGCUGCAGCUCAAUUCAUUUCCUGAGAGGAAAGAUAAUGCUGUAGAAGAAUAGACACUAUACGGUCCCUCUUUAUGUGGCAUUCAUCCGUUAGAAAGUUUAUUUCAUUGGCUUCUUGUAGAUGUCAAACUGCUAAACGCAAGGCUGCAGCACAAAGAAAUUUCUUAAAUUACUGGGGGAAUAAAUUAGCUCUUAUAACAUGCUUUGAAAUUUCAAUUGCGUUCUGUAGCAAAAAGCAAGUCCCCGAGUGUGUAUAGAAUCCCAUUCCACGGACCAUUGUUUCCUUCCUGCUGCUGAAAAAUAGCUUAAAUAAAAUCCUACGAGUUUAA
ensembl:lncRNA